UUCUUUCUCUGCUCUCACGCGGCGCGUAGUAUGGGUUUCCUGGUAGCUGGGGCUUGGGAGGUGGCUGUGGCCUGCUAUCUAGCGUGUCCGCGGUAGACUUUGGCCUACGUCCCCUUCCCGGGAAAUCGGGGGAUGGCCCUAACUCGGUGGCCGCGUGAGGAGCACGGCCCGCCGGACCCCGCGUGAAGUGGGUCGGUGUGGAAGCCGAGCUCCGUUUGCGACGUAGAUCUCCGCCGCAUGCCCAGGCGCACAACUGGGCGGAAAUGGCGCGGACAUCCAAGUCACAAGGUAGGUGUCUGAAGCUGACGGAUAACUUCCAGAACGACACGCGGGAGCACAGAGUGGCUUAAGGUAGGAUGACUACAGAGCACCAGGUGUGGGAUUUCCUUUUAAGUUGGAAUGCCGAAUCAUUAGUCUUCUUCUCUUGUACUGCCGCUGCAGUUACAAUCUGGAGUUAAUGCGGACGGUAACUCAGAAAUGACAGCCUUUACCUAUAAGUCAAAAAUAGGAUAGUUUUACCAACACUAAAGGCUUUGAGUGGAGAUAGGUUACCAGAUAAGUUUUUUGAGACAGGCACUAAAAGCGUUUUUAUCUUUCCUUUUAGGAUGUCCUCGAUGAUUUGGAAAUUGGAUCUUAAGAGGCAUGGGUGACUUAAAGUGUGUCAAAACUCCACAGAUGGACGUACAC
rnacentral:lncRNA from 1 species